rnacentral:rRNA from 1 species
AGGACGAACGCUGGCGGCGUGCUUAACACAUGCAAGUCGAACGGUGAAGCCUUUCGGGGUGGAUCAGUGGCGAACGGGUGAGUAACACGUGGGCAAUCUGCCCUGCAUUCUGGGACAAGCCUUGGAAACGAGGUCUAAUACCGGAUACGACGCAUCCCCGCAUGGGGUGUGCGUGGAAAGCUCCGGCGAUGCAGGAUGAGCCCGCGGCCUAUCAGCUUGUUGGUGGGUGACGGCCUACCAAGGCGACGACGGGUA